UACUUCCUGAUCAUGGUGGUGCACCUGAAGU
rnacentral:piRNA from 2 species